rnacentral:misc_RNA from 1 species
UUGCGGAUCCCAAGAAAGCUGCUUGCAAUGGCCAACCUCAACCGCUCACUUGUCGCAGAUGUUGACUCCUCAUUCACCACAUGCCAUCAGCAGACUAGAAAUUGACUGAAUCGAAUGCCUCACGUCACCGGUUCUAAAUAUCUCGACUUAGAUUCUCACUUCAUUUUCAGCGAAAUCAGUAUUAUGGGUGGAUUUCUCGGAGUCUAGAAUCAAUCGGCAAGGACCUCAUUAGCCCUAUCUCGCUCUCACUUCUCUGCCAUUUGCCCUCUCAAUUUUAUUGUUUUCCGACCUUUGCUAACUGCC